rnacentral:miRNA from 1 species
AAAGAGAGGAGAGAGAGAGAGAGAGAGAUAUAUAUAUAUAUAUAUCUAUCUAUAUCUAUCUAUAUCUAUAUCUAUCUAUAUUUAUAUAUAUAUAUAUAUAUAUCUCUCUCUCUCUCUCUCUCCCUCUCUCUGU